AGCGAACGUAGUUCAGUGGUAGAACACCACCUUGCCAAGGUGGGGGUCGCGGGUUCGAAUCCCGUCGUUCGCUU
rnacentral:tRNA from 2 species